UACGGGGGGGGCAAGCGUUGUUCGGAAUUAUUGGGCGUAAAGGGCGCGUAGGCGGCUUUGCAAGUGACGGGUGAAAUCCCUCGGCUUAACCGAGGAACUGCCUGUCAAACUGCAUGGCUUGAGACCGGGAGAGGUGAGUGGAAUUCCCAGUGUAGCGGUGAAAUGCGUAGAUAUUGGGAGGAACACCAGUGGCGAAGGCGGCUCACUGGACCGGUACUGACGCUGAGGCGCGAAAGCGUGGGUAGCAAACAGG
rnacentral:rRNA from 1 species